rnacentral:rRNA from 1 species
CAGGGAUUGCCCUAGUAACGGCGAGUGAAGCGGCAACAGCUCAAAUUUGAAAUCUGGCCUCUUUUGGGGUCCGAGUUGUAAUUUGCAGAGGGCGCUUUGGCGUUGGCAGCGGUCCAAGUUCCUUGGAACAGGACGUCACAGAGGGUGAGAAUCCCGUACGUGGUCGCUGGCCUUCGCCGUGUAAAGCCCCUUCGACGAGUCGAGUUGUUUGGGAAUGCAGCUCUAAAUGGGAGGUAAAUUUCUUCUAAAGCUAAAUACUGGCCAGAGACCGAUAGCGCACAAGUAGAGUGAUCGAAAGAUGAAAAGCACUUUGGAAAGAGAGUCAAACAGCACGUGAAAUUGUUGAAAGGGAAGCGCUUGCAGCCAGACUUGCCUGUAGUUGCUCAUCCGGGCUUUUGCCCGGUGCACUCUUCUAUAGGCAGGCCAGCAUCAGUUUGGGCGGUUAGAUAAAGGUCUCUGUCAUGUACCUCUCUUCGGGGAGAACUUAUAGGGGAGACGACAUGUAACCAGCCCAGAUUGAGGUCCGCGCAUUUGCUAGGAUGCUGGCGUAAUGGCUGUAAGCGGCCCGUCUUGAAACACGGACCAAGGAGUCUAACAUCUAUGCGAGUGUUUGGGUGUCAAGCCCGAGCGCGCAAUGAAAGUGAACGGAGGUGGGAACCCCUCGGGGUGCACCAUCGACCGAUCCUGAUGUCUUCGGAUGGAUUUGAGUAAGAGCAUAGCUGUUGGGACCCGAAAGAUGGUGAACUAUGCUUGAAUAGGGUGAAGCCAGAGGAAACUCUGGUGGAGGCUCGCAGCGGUUCUGACGUGCAAAUCGAUCGUCAAAUUUGGGCAUA